rnacentral:lncRNA from 1 species
UUUCAUUUACGAAACCGGCAGCAUCGUGAUUCUGUUGCUGAUGCAAACAAUUUAAAAUGUCGGGCAGCUAAAUGACGAAAGAAACGACCCAGAAGUUUGGAACUCCUUGUACGAUUCUGCAGUUGAACUUGCCGCAACUGUCAAUACUGAUCCGUCAAUGUCAAGAAACCGUGGUGCCCAACGUAAUAGGCCCAAUGCACCAGCGC